GGCACGUGUCAGUAGUACAUGCUGAAGAGGCAGAGGCAGGAGGAUCACAGUCCCCACUGCUCCCCACAGAUCCUAGGUGCUCAACUCCCACCACUGAACAGGGCCCGAUUCCUUUGUAGAGUGGGGGCCACCCUGAAAGCACAGAUAGCUUUUUUUUCUUCAUGAUGGCUAUCUAGUCACCAGCAGAGCAGAGAGUCUACACCACAGACAGUUCUUUGUGCACAUCAUCAAUUCACGUCCAAGGACAAGCUGCUGGCCUUCCUUUAAGCAUAUAUCAAAUUAAACAAAGUAUAAAACCCAACCACAGGCAAAGAACAGGACUCCUUAGAGUCAACGGAAGUCAAAGUCUUAAUGAUGUCAAGUCACCAGAAGAGGACAGGAGCCAUUAAGAAGAUUGACGGAUAGGAAUAUGGAUUUUGAGUGAAAGGAGAAAGGGGGGGGGUCUCACACACACCCAUUCAAAUGCCAAUCUGUGACAGAUUGUAGGCUAGAGGUUCCCAGGGACACACUAAAUGUGGGAAUCCCUGGAAAACAGCUCACCCAAGGCUAGAAGGAUCCCAGCUGGCCUGAACUGGACAAUGACGUGGUCUUCCAAAGGCCUUAGCUUAAUUAGACACAAGAUGGGGGUCUGUUUUAGUCAGUAUUGCUGUGAAGAGCCACCAUGACUGUGUGGUAGCUCUUACAAAAGGAAAGCAUUUAAUUGGGGCUUGCUUGGUUUCAGUGGUUUACUCCAUUGUCAUUCUGGCAGGGAGUGUGGUGGCAUGCAGGCGAACACGGUAGCUGGGAGUUCUACCUACGGAUCUGAAGGCAGCAAGAAGAAAGAGCUGCUGAGUCUGGCUUGAGAGUUUGAAACCUCAAAGCCCGCAUCCAAUGAUACACUUACUCAAACGAGGCCACGCCUACUCAAAAAGGCCACACCUCUUAGUUCUUUCAAACAGGGCCACUCCCUGAUGACCAAGCAUCAGCACCAGAAAGAAGACAGCAAAUUAACCCCAGGUGCUGACGUGAGUUCCCUUAGUCCACCAGCAAGCAAGCAUGCCAAGGUGAGCAAUCCCCUGGAGCAUCCUGUGUGUUUCUGGCUUCCCUGAUCCUGCACCCCUCUCCAGCUUCCCUGGAUCAGCAUCCCCAAGCCUUCCCACCCGACACACCUUCUUAGCUCUUCAGUCAGUGCUGCAAAACCUGGGAGUUCUUUCUUGAAAUCCUCAGCCCAUACACACUGCUCUCAGUUCCUAAGAGCUCUGGGCUCACCUAGCACUCCUCUGAAUGUCUGCUGCCAAGCCCUUCCCCCACCAUGUAUUAUUCAGCAUGGCAACCCCAAGGCCUGGGCCUUCAAUUAGGGUUGAAUGCAUUAAAGAAAGGAGGCUUUGUUGCUUACAGUUGCCUCUGACCGCACACGCGCACACACACACACACACACACACACACACACACACACACACACACACACUGGUGGGAACUGCUUUUAGACCCCUCUGAAAGUUCUAAACAAACACCUGUUGACUAGGUACGCUGUAUUCAACGGAGAGAAAGUAAAGCUGUUUGGUAGUCCGUGGCCGAGGCUCCAGGAUGGGGCUCCGUUUCAAGUUAGAUGACAUCAACUUUCUACGAUCUAAAUGUAUUCAUCUCUGUUGGGAUGUAAUCUAGGACAACGGAUCAGUAGUUAAUCCUCUAAAUAAUUAUGAUGAAAACGUCUAACACUUUAGGGAAAGUGAUGUGCCAUAAUUAUUAAACAGUAUAUACAAGUGCUUUCUUACUUUUACAAACCCGGCGGGGGUUGGGGGGAAUUCACUCUGAAUUAAUGAUAUUAUUCAUAUCUUGCUAAGCUCUACCUUAAAAGUUAGAGAAACAGGGUGUUGGGUGGGAGAGAUGCCUCAGCAGGUAAAGUACUUGGUGCACAAAAAAUGUGGACUAGGGUGUGGGUCCCCAGCACCUCGUGAGGGUCUCAUAGGCACGGCAGCCUGUGAUUCCAUCCCUUUGGGCGAGGAGACUUGGGAUCCCAAGAGCAAGCUGGCCAGCUAGCCUUGAGCCAGCAAGCUCCAGGUUCAAGUGAGAGACCCUGGCUCAGCAUACAAAGGGUUGAGCCCCUGAUGGCAACCCAUGGCCUCCACACAUGCACAAUUACAAACGCUCAACACACAAUGUGGCCACAUACAGUGUGCCUACACGCACGUGCCUACACACAUGUGCACACACACACACAGUGUGGCACACAUGCAUGUGCACACGCUAUUCACACACACAUGUGCUCACACACAUAUGCACACACACAGUGGCAUUCCUGUGCAGGAGAGAGUCUGAAGACACCUCAGUGUUACCCAAAUCGAUGCAGGACACAGUGCCAAGGCGUCCUCUCAGCAUCUAGGUCUCUAACACUGUCACCACCUUCCCUCUGUCCUUCCCACGAGGAGAUGGGUGCCUAACAAGGUGGCUUGCCGGAUGUACUUGGUCCACUGUCAGGUGGUGUUCAUUUCCUAGGGUGGAAAUCCAAGCACCACACACCCUGUGGCUUGCAUUUACCGUCUCACAGUUUUGAAGGGCAGGCGGUAGCUGCCAGGCUGUUGCCGGGGCCAACGCCUCUUCCUUGCCUCCGAGGGCUUCUGGUGUUUAGCCUGUGAUUCUCAGUGUCCCCUGGCUAGCAGCCACAUCACUCCAAUCUCGGCUUCUAUCUUCUCCCUGUAGCUCUGUCUCUGCUUGCUUCUCUUCCUCUGAGGACAAGUGUCACUCUAGAUAAAGGGUCUGUUACUCCCGUUUGACCUUUCCUUAAUCACGUAAGUCUUCGGCGACCCUAUUUUUAAAUGCAGUCACCUUAGACAGGCUGGGGGCUAGGACUUAGUACAUUUUUUGCAGGUCAUAAUUCAACUCACAAAUACCAUGAUUAAAUGGGUCACUUGAAACUCAAGGAGGAAGCAUCAGCUCAGGUAACGCAGACCAAUCCACCCACUGAAACUGAGAAAAGCUGGGAAAGGGUUUUAAAAACUUUCCUUGGGGGCUGGCAAGAUGGCUAAGUGCGUAAAGGCGCCUGCCACCAAGCCUGACGGCCUGAGUUUGAUCCCCAGGACAUCCUUGGUAGGAGGAGAACUGACUGUUGCAAGUUGUCCUUUGACUUCCUCAAGAAUGCUGUGAUAAAUGUACACCCCUCCCCUCCCAUAAAUAAUAAAUGCAGAAAAACUAUUCCUCUAAGUUACGGUAAAUUAGCAGUUAAUAAAGAAUAAUGGAACCAUGACUCAAGAGGAAUCCAAAGAGGUGUGUGCUGGGUGAUGCUGUUUCCCUGGGAACGCCGGCCACUUCUGGAAGAGCCUAAGAGCAGCACUUGGGACAUUUUGUGGAACUAGACAGGUUCAGUCAGAGCCUCCUUCCCAAAUGACCACGCCCUAAGCAGGCUGAUUCUCUUGGUCAUUUAAGCCUUUGAACCCCUGAAUCCAGACUGAAGUGUUAAGUCUGCCCAUACACAGCGUCGUGCAAGAAUAAAGAUUCCCCGAAGAAAAGCAAGGGUUUUCAAUCCUUGCUUUCAACCAAGGGUUCUGUUUAUUUCUAUAGAUUAUCAUCUGCGAGAUCUGGCAUUCAAUCAGAAGUAACUAUGUCUAGGAGACGAUGUAAGUAUAUUCCAAGUAUAGUUAUGGGCAACAGAAAACAACAUUUAAGGGAGACAAAUGUUCGGGGUUAACAGUCAUGGAAUUUUUAAAAUUUAAACUUGAGGCUGGGGAAGUUGCCCUAUGGGUGACAUGCUCGCUGUACAAGGGGGAGGUUCUAAAUUUGGUUCCCAGAACCUACGUAAGGAGCCAGUGUGCUGGGACAACCCUUGUAACACUGUCACUGGGGUAGGGGUGGAGACAACUAGGGUCCUGGGGCUCGUCAAUUAGCCUAAAGCCCUAGGCUCUGUGACAGAUCCCGACACAAACAUGAAGAAGCGACAGGGGAAGACGUCUCCAACACCAACCCCCGGCUUCUACAUUCACAGGCGACCCAGCACAUGCGCGUGUAAAUUCUGCACACAUAAAUAAAGUUUUUAAAAAGAAAUUACACUUACAAGGGUUCAAAGAGGUAAAAAAAAAAAUAGUUUCCAGGGAAACCAGAAACAGAACAGAGCUAGAAGGACACGUAGAAAUUGUGGACGGUGACAAACAAGGAGGAAGCAAAGAUUCAGUGCUUAAAAGCUCAGCAAGAAGAACAUGAGGAACAAGGAGAGGGCACAAGGCAGAAUCCGCUCCAAACCCAAUGGAAAGGGAGAAAACACGGAGCAGCUGGGAACACACAGAGGGGAAGAGCCAGGAAUUGUUCAGGUCCCUACUCUGAGCCCUGGGAAGGUGGAGCCUGGAGGGUCAUGAGUUCAAGGCCAGCCUGGGCUACAUGAGACCCUGUCACCCACAGACAGACAGACAGACAGACAGAAGGUAUGUAGUGACAGGACUAACAGGCCUGUGGCGACUCAAGUCCAAGGGAAGAGAGGGAAUAGUUAGAGGAAACGGAAGUGGGUGAGGUCUGUGUGCCGGCUCAGGAGGCAAAAGCGCACUCGCGUGUGGCUUGCCAAGCCUGAUAAUUUGAGUUCGGUCCCCAGGACAACCCUCAUGGAAUUCCUGAUGAUGACUAGGUUGGCCUGUGAACUCCCAGAGACCCUCCAGUCUCUCACCCAAGCGCUGGGAUUACACUAUACCUAGGAGCCACCACACCUAGCCCAACAAUUGACUUCUUAAUGAAAAUAUAAAAUGACAGUAGACAGGAAAGAAAAUUCCUAAAUGUUUAAAGACCCAAACAUCAUCAAUGCUACAUGUACUCUUUCCAAAGAGAUAGAAGCCAUCUUGGACAUGGCUUCCCAGAAAUCAGGAUCAAAGUCAUUUUCUGAGUCCAACCAAGCCUGCACCCAAACCCAUGACUCCACGCCAUCGUAUGCAAAUAAAGGCGGAAGAGCAAAUGACCCUAUUCACAGAUUCAGAGGAAGAGAAUGGGGUAACCGCCAACAGCCAUUUAUGAUAGGAUCUUCCUGGUCUGAUAAGUGACUUCUAUAAAUAACUCAGGCAUUCAUCACACUCCUGCUGAAAUACCGACGGCUUCCUGCUGAGAUCAAGGAUGAGACAAGGAAGUUGCCCCUGCCUGGUGGAAGCAUCAUGCUACAGGAGUGCUAUAGGAAACGUGUGUGUGGGAAGCUUGCUUGGAUGCUGCGCAUUGACGAUCUAUGAGAAGCUCCACACUUAUUUAGCUGGGAGACAGAGGUUAGUUCUAAAGCCGGGCUUAGGAGAUGGUUCAGGGGUCAGAUCACCAGCUGUGCAAGCGAGUUCAAAUCCCCAGCACGCAUAUAAAAAGGUGGGUGUGGUCACAUAAUUAUAACUGGGACCACUGGGGUGGGACUUUGGGGCAAAGGGCAGCAGGGUCACACAUUGGGGGUUGGGUGGGGCAGGUACUGAGGCUUGCUGGCUGACAGCCAGCCUAGCUCCAGGGUCAGUGAGACAGGGGACUCAAUGUCCUUUGGCCUUCCCAUGUGACGCACAUGGGCACACACAUAUAAAUGCACACAUGCGUAAAUCACACACUCCUCCCCCCCACCCCCACAGGACACGGAAAGCAUUUAGAAAAGGGAAGAAAUUCAAAGUUGUGGAUGUAGGCUAACAUAAAAAAAAUAUAAAAUAUAUAAAAGCAAAUCCUAGAUACGUUAGAUUCCUCCAUAGGAAAAUUUCCAAAUGUUAUUUGCAGGAACUUUAUGGAUUUCGAGGUUCAAUAUUGUAAGGAAUAUUUACAAAUUGUUCUACUGCAGAUUCGAUGCCAUUUUAAUGAAAACCAGAACAGUUUUUGCUCAUUUCCUGGAGACUGGGAAGUGAAGCUGAUUUUAAAAUUCACGCAAAUAUGCAAAUGGCUGUCAGACACUGUGCCGAUGGCUACUGUAACUUUCUGUGGGCCAAAGAACUAAUAAAUGAAGCAACAAAUAAAAAGCCCAGAAAAUGCCUGGGGUACCAGGAUAUGCAGAGCUGGGCUCCUGGAGAGCUCGCGCUUCCUCUCUGGGUUACUGGGACAAGGCUCAGCAUCCAGUGUGGGCCACCUUAUCUAUGAAGCACCGGGCCAGGCCACCGAAGUUAGAGUUCAAGUCAGAAUAAGGGAUUUUUCCUGUUUGCCAGGGUUUGGUUUUGUUUGUUUGUUUUAAGUUGGGGGGAAUCUGGGAUUUGGAGAUCGGUGUCCUUCUAAUCCUGAAUAUUCCAGGCAGCCUAGGGACAUCGGUUACUAAGUCUUGCCUUGAUUGCCAAGUUAGAAGGCAUAAACCAGGCACAGUAGUAUGGGGCCCCUCAAGAGGCAGAGACAGGUGGGUCUCUGUGAGUUCAAGGCUAGCCAUGUAGCAAGUUCCAGGUCAGUUGGGACUACACAGUAUGACCUAGUCUACAAGAAAAGCGGGGAGUUCAUAACACAGUAGAUGGGUCAGGUAGACAGACCUCAGUUAAAAAUAUUAUUUUAAUUUUUGCAUACUUUUUUUUUUCUUUUUACAUAGGAUCUCAUGCAACCUUGGCCUAGAAUUUGAUACUAUAUAGAUCAAGCUGGCCUUGAACUUCUGAUUCUCCUGACUCCAUCCCCCAAAUGCUGGGAAUAUGGGCAUGAGUCCCUACUCUGUCCACUUUCAUGCUUGUGAAUUUUCUGACUAAACCACCUGAACUCUUGGAGCCUUGGGUCCCCUACCUGUGAGAGCAAGGUCAUAAAGAUGAAUUGAAAACCUGCCUGCAAAGCCCUUCAGAAGCAUCUGGCUCAUAUAAUUACUUAAUAAGUAGAACCAACUAAAGACAACACAGUGGAGCCAGAUGCUGGGCUCUGAGGCCACUGAAGACAAGAUGGAGGAGUGAUGAACUGGAUCUGUGGAUCCCUGGGGAGAGAUGGUCGGGGAAGCAUCUGUGUAAUGGGUACAAUGUUAAUCCACCAAGGUUUCAAGCUUCCCUUAUUAAGCCUGCCAAAGGAUAACUAAUACAUCCCUGCUCUGCACUGCUACUGGAGAGCAAGUGAUCCCACAGCCCACCUCACCCACACCCGCAUACCGUCCAGUCCACCAUCCUUUCCUGUUCGGUGAACACACAGCGACCCUUCAUCUUUGGCUGGUGUAGCUCACAACCUGGUUAAUCCUUAUUUGGUUUCCUGGGCCUGAUUCUUAAACAAAGAAUCCUUAGUUCAUGGCCACCUAUAAAGAAUGUUCUUAGAGCCAACCAAAGCCCUGGUACUCUGUUCCAAACCCUGUUUGCAAUUUAGGCCUCAAUGCAUACAUGGGAGGGAGGGAGUCUGGCUGAUGACUGCAGGGAGGAUCUGGCCUCCCUCUGGGAGCACCCUGGCACUCAGACACACCCUCACUUCUGGAGGAGCUCAAUAUUUGAUCCGUGCCCCUCACCAAGAUGCUUCCGAAGGCACAAUUAAAGAGCUCUGCUCUAGGACAGAGCUUUUCUGUUUGUUUGACAAUAGCGUGCGUGCGUGCGUGCGUGCGUACUAAGUUUUAGUCGUUUUCAUCCCCCCUGCCAAACUUGUUACUGAGUUCCCCUCCUACUCCCACACCAUCUUUUGCAUGUGGCCCAGUGAUUUUAACCAGACUUCCAACCCCCAGCACACCAGAACCUGCGCCCUGUGCGGCUGCUUGAAGCACCUUCUUAUUCUUGCCCUUACCCACCUGCCUUGGAAACCCUGUGCCACGUUAGACCAAACCAACCAGAACAAACUUGUUCUUCAGCAGAUCUCUGUCACUUUCCCCAGUGUUCUCCUGCCAGUGGCUAGUGGCUAUCGCAGAGACUCAGACAGAACUCGGUCAAUGGGCCGAUAUAAAUAACCGUGAGCUCUGGGCGGUGGAUGAACCAACUCUAUCAACCUUCCAACCGAAGCUCAGCAGAUAUCGUAGGGAAGGAGGAGGGGAGAAUGUAAGAAUGUGAGAGCUGCAGGAUAGAUGGGGAGGAGAGCUGUGCAUGCCGGCUUCUGGACGAGGAUGCCACUGCUGCACCCAUCAGCUCACAGUGGAUAUGGCUGUCAGUGCAAAACAUGCACAAGAUCAAGCCAGUCAAAAUUUCACCAUGAACAGGGGGAGGAGCCCCUGAGGCCCCACUCUUGAUGGAAGACCUAUUUAUAGUUGAUGGCUGCUGAAGCAGGGAGUCAUUUUCCUUUGGGGAUAUUGCUGCUGGUACGUUGUCGGUGCUCCAGUGUAUGGUCCGAAUAUGGGUCUCUGGCUUUACUAUAACAACAAACAAGGAGGAGCCAGACACGGUGGAGCACAUCUUUAAUCUCAGCCGUCAGCAGGCAGAGGUGGCUGAAUCGCUGUGAGUUUGACCAGGACAGCCUGGUCUACACAGUGAGAGCUUGUCUCAAGAAAAUAAAUAAAUAAAUAAAUAAAUAAAUAAAUAAAUAAAUAAAUACAUAAAAGGGCAUGAAGUUGGAAGGGAGAAGGGGGUACUAGAGGAAGUCAGAGCAGUGGUGGAGUGGAUAUGAAAAAGGAGCAAACAUUGAAACGCCAUGCCCUUGCAGUCCUGACUCCGGUCUGAAGUUUCAAAUGAGCAGUGAAGUGCAGCUGUGUUACUGUUUCUGUCCUGUUGUAAAACCAGAGCAUCCCCUGCUCCAAGACCCGAGAAGGCAGAUGUGGACAUGAAGGUAACUGAGGAGGUACAGCAGGCGCCGUAACCACAUCCAGCUCUCCUCAGGAAUAAGCCACGCCACGGCACUCAUUCCUGCGCAUGCGCUUUGAAGACUAGCACCGGCGCCCCGGGAUUUAAAUGGCCGCCACGUGCUCAAUCCACUCUGUACCUCCGAGGAAAUCCUUGAAUGAUGCUGGAUGUAUCAUACUAAGUCUACCCACCCGACACCAGAGAUCACGUUCAGAAAUGGUGAGCUAGUACCUCAAACCCUCCUCUGCAGAAGGAGCAAGGCAGCCUGUGUCUUUCCUGAAACCAAGGAACACCAAUGCUGGCACCAACCCAACUCCCCACACCCCCGAAUUCUAUAAAUCCAAGCAGAUAGGAAGAAAAUAUUUGUAUUUUACUACUAACAUUUAGAGACCCAUUUGAUACACUCUUUGUGGCAUUUUUAAGACAUACUAUCGACUUCUAGUGAGCUGAGAAACUUCCUUAGACUAUCUUUAAAAUGGAUUGCCAGGUCUCUGACUAAAAGUUUGACCUCUGAACCAUGGGGUUCAGUGUUUAGCAAGAAAACUUUGUAGGCUGCCUGGCUAGUGUGGGACCCAAAGCUCUCAAGACCCGAUUUACAUGUCACAAUGACCUAGUGAUGUAAUUACUGUUACUUUCCCAUCCUGUAGGUGCAAAAACCUGAAAGGUGGGGAGGUUAAGUCAUUUGCCUAGAGUCCCUUCUGUGGCUGAUUAAAACAACACGGCACAGCAGGAAAAACAGGAAGCUGGUUUCCAGAAACGCCAGAACAACAGCCCCUCUGUUCCCAGCUCCUGGCAGGAGGCAGCCGCAGCCUGUGAAGGGGCCCUUGCCUGGAAGCAGCCAGCCUCCGGGCUGUUCAGGGCAGGCCACAGGCAGUCCUGAGUCAGGAAGGUUGCCUGUUUCUCUAAAGCAGCCACCUAGUUCCCCUGCUCAGCCCCAGGCUACAGAAGGCAAGAAGCAACAAGGCCACUGGGUAGGUGUCCAUUUAUGGCCUCAGUCCCACACCUGGAAGCUGGGUCUGCGUUUUCUCAUCUCGCAUGCAGAGAACAGAGAGUUCAAGGGAUGUGUACCUAGGACUUCACGGGGGCAGGGUCCUGGACCUGGCUUGUCUGCUUUCAAAGUCCCUGGUUUGGUGUGGUUUUCACUAUGGAAUGCUGUGAGAUUUCUUGAAAUUGGCCAAAAAGGGUAUCUUGAUUUUUAUUUGGCUAACAAAAUAAACAGAGAAACCAA